UUUUUAAUUUUACUUUUCUUUGGUCACUCUGGUGACCUACACAUGGCAUAACCUUAGGUAGACCCCAUCAUAGGCAGUUCCUGUGAUAGAAUUAUGUGCCUUCCUAGCUCCACAUGGUUUGUCUUUUCCAAAUCUUUAUUGGAAGGGAUGAGUGUUUGAAUCUCCUUUCAUCUGGCCCUUUGGGACUAGUAGGACCACAGUCACAGAAUAAGGAGUUCUGGUUACAACCCAAGCAGAAAAUGAUUCCUGAAUGUUGAGUUCAUAGUAGCUGUAUUCCCCACACAGUUCAAAUGGUGACAUUCUUAAGGCAGAGGAAGAAGAACAGUCAAUCCUUUUAUUUAAUUUUGGCAAGACUGUGGUUUAUGGUGCUCUGGGGAAAUGCAGCCACAGAUGUGUCAACCUUUAAAAAAAUUCUUGGCAGUCUAACCUUUAAGUCAUAAACCUAAACACAGACAGUGCAUCCCUGAAAAAAGCUCGUGUUGGCUGCAUUGCACACCUCUAUCCCACCUUCCAAGACAACCAUCAUUCCGUCUUUGCUUGUGAAAUGCAAGUUCUGUUUAUUUUAAUCAGUAUUUAUUUCCUAGAUGAUCUGGGUGCGUUGUGAUUUUCAACAUGUUUGACAGUUUUAUGGUUAGCUCAGCAAUCACUCUAUAUUAUUCACUCCCAAGAUAUGGAUAAGCACAAGGGAGUUACUCCUUUCCAAUUCUGCAUCGAUGUUGGACCUCUGUCAAGAAGCAUCAUAGGAAGGUGGUUAAGCACAUGGACACUGGAGCCCUACUGCAUGGGCUCUAGCCCUAGUUUAGCAUUGUAUCUACUGUGUGACUUUGGGGAAAGUUACUUAAUCUUACUGUGCCUUGUCUUCAGGAACAAGAACAGUACCUACUUCCUAGAGCAGUUGUGAAAACCAAAGGAGUUAAUUUGUAUAUAGACUUUAGGGAAGUGCCUGGCACAAUAUAAGUGCUUAUAAAUAUUAUCUGUCAAUAUUGCUAAAGGACAAACACUAUGUUUUCAUAUAUUUUACUUACAUGAUAAUCAAAAUGAGAAACUAGUUAUUGUUAUUUAAUUCAUUAAGUCUUCUAUCUUCCCCUGUGCUUUUAAAGGACUUAAUUAACUAGAGUUAUUAUAACUCCUUUUGGGGAAAAUUUCUAUUUUUACACAUACACAGAUAGGAACAUGUAUGAAAGUAUAUCAAAAUGUUAACAGCAUCAUCUCUGGGAGGUUUGAUUAUGAAUGAUCUUAAUUCAUUUUCAUUUUUUCCUCAUUUGGAUUUAAUAAGUCUCUAUACACAUUACUUAUAGAACUUUAACAGAGCAAAGAACUCAACUAACAUUUCUAGCACUUUCAGAGAAUAUUAUUCAUAUUAUAUUUGCAUGUGUUUUGUGUGAAACUUCACAUCAAGUGUUUUAUGCCUUAACUUUUUGUGAUUCUUUCCUCCUGUGUUUUCUCUGUUCAAGUGAACACAUCAGUAGGAUCAGUGAUUUGUCAUGCACAGACACAGCACAUAACUCCACAUUUCAGGUAACAGCUCUUUUUGUGUGUGUGUGAUAGAUUUUUACUCUUGUUGCCCAGGCUGGAGUG
rnacentral:lncRNA from 10 species